rnacentral:ncRNA from 2 species
GAAAGCUGUAUGAGGGAAAACCUCACGUACGAUUUGAUGAGGGGAAGCUGAAACAGAAAAGGGAUAGCAAAGCCAUCCCUAAAUAAAAUUUAAUCUGUUUCAGUUUUCUACUCUAC